rnacentral:lncRNA from 1 species
GAACACCCAUUAUUAUUACCAACUAGAUUGCUGCAUAGUUUCAUCAGCAAUAAGAACCAUUAAACAAGAAAGUUUUAGUGAUCAGUACAAACACACAUACUCACUAAGAUGUAACAAUUAUUGCAGACAAGGUACUGUCACUAUCUAUCAUUUUUUUUUUCAGUUAAAAGCAAAAAAACAAAGAAAAAAGGUCUCUCCUUUACUACUACAUCAGAAAGGGAUUAUGAGAACUUACACAUUAACAUGAUCUUCCAUCAAAUAAGAGUGAGACAAGGAAAACAUAACCCAAAACUAUUAAUUCAGACUAAAAUGUUACAUAAUCACUAACAAGAGGGACCCUUUUGAUCCUGCAUUGAGUUGACCCACCAACCUUACUUUUGGGUACAUUUUUCUUUGAUGAGAGAAGCAGUAGGAUAGAGUUAACUCCUUAGUACAGACACUGGUGCACCAAAAAUAUCUCCCCAAAAAAUUAUGCUCAUUUCCUUACCCUCUCUUUGCCUUUUCAUGAGUCUCUUCAUAACUUCUCUUCAGUGGUUGGUGUGAAAUUGAAUCAACACAGAUGAUCAUAAAUUGAGAUUCUCUCUCUCUAGGUAAUGGCUAUUUCCUUUGGAUGGGGCUUAGUAACAAACACUUGGAAGACGAGGAUAGAAAUUUAAAAUUACAAAAGAAAAAGGGAGAAGAAUAGAAAAAGUCCUAUAUAAUUGAGAGGAGAAAGAGAUAGCAAUAGCAGCGUGGAAGGAAGAAGACAAAGGGGGCAUCAUCAUCUAAGUGUACAAUUUGAGUAAGCUAUGUACCUUUCAAAUGAAAAUCAAAUGAUAAAUCAUAGCUUGGAGACGAUGAUGAUGAUGAUACAUAGAAAUCUUGUUUUUAGUCUGGUUUGAUUUUUUUUUCUCAAGGUAACUCAGAAACUGUAGGUGAAGAGACAGGGAACAAUGGCAAGAGUUGAGGCUCAAAUUCUCUUGGAGUUGACAUGGGAGAGGGAUGCAAGUAGAAGCCUUUUUCAGCUAUGGCUUUGUCUUCGUCUGAGGAGGUAGAGCUAGCGAGUGAAGGUGAGGACUUGUUAAAAGGGUCAUAAUCAUUCAAUGGGGUGACAGGGCUGAGAGUGAGGGAGGGGAAGUUAAGGAAGCUAGGGGAGAGGAUCUCUGGUUUGUGGGGUGAGGAGAAUCCUGAGAUGUGUGGAAAAUUGGGGACCAAGGUGUUGAUGAUGAGGUUGUUCUUAAGGUUGUUGUUGUUGUUGUUCCUCCUUUCAUAGAGCUUGAAGCCUUGCUGCUUGUUUGGUGUUGUUUUGAUGGGAGGGAUGUUGAAGUUCUUGGAUGGUUGUGGUGGAGGUGGAUCUUGUGGGUUUGUGGAGUCUGAUGAGCCAGUGAGCAUUUGAACCACCUGUUUGAAGGUGGAGGUGUCAGCUUGGACAAAGGUGGUGGGGUAAGGGGUGCAGUCAGAUCUGGGGAAGGAUUUUGGUGUGGUGUUGGUGUUGUUGCUUGGAUUUCUAAGAUUGCUGCUCCUUGGUGAUGAGUUCAUGGAAGGUGGGGUUUCUGUGUCUUGGAGUCUCAAGCUCAUUUCCAUUGAUUGGAGGAUGAAGUGAUGAUGAUGAUGAAGGCUACUUUGUUUUCUUCUGUGUACCAAAACCAAGGAAGAGAGAAAAAGCCUAAGGGUUGCUAUGGACUUUGGAUGAAAAUUGAACAAGAGAGAUGGUAUAUGGAAGAGUGAAAAACAAGGUUUCUUCAAAGGAAGAAAGAGAGUAUUUGCCUUUCAUUCAUGUUUCAUAAUAUUUUAUCAACUUUUUUCUAAUAUUUUUUGUUGGUUUAAAUCUUUUUUAUCACUAAGAUAAAAGAUGGUGUUAAGUUUAGUUUUCCUUUUAAAAAAUGGAAAUUUUUUUUGUCUUUAUAAAGUGCAAAAUAUAUCAAAUCAGUCCUAUCUGUUAACGGUUGUUUAUUAACUUUUUUGAUUUGUCUCGUUACUAACUCUCAUACUUUAGGAGUUGUUGAUGUUGCAGCUUUCCAUACUAAUUGUCUGAGAGUUAUGUCAGUAAAUUUCUUCCUAAAAUUUGACCGAUAUGACUGAUUUGAUACAUUUUGAACAUCAUAGGACCAAAGGUUUACAUUUUUAAAAGGAUACUAAAUUGAACACCAACUUUUAACUUAAGAACCAAACAAAGAUUUAAAUCAUUUUUUUUAUAAGAUAAUUAUUUUAUUGGUUUUUAUAUUUGAAAUGAAUUAAUCACAAACGUUCAUAUAAAAAAUUGUCAAAAAUAAAUAAUUAAAAAAAUAUAUUAUUUAUUUAUUUAUUUGUUUUGUUUAGUUGAAACUUUUUUAUUUCUUCACACUUUUUAAUAAUUUUUGACAACAAAUUAUAUAUAAUUAUUUUAUUAAUUUUUAUAUUUAAAACGGACCAUAAAGAAGGUUGUUAAAGAUAAUAUUUUUUUUAUUCAUUUGUAUGUUUUGUUUAGUUGAAACUUUCUUAUUUCUUCACACUAUUUUUAAUUUUAUUUUUUUAUUUUCUUAUUAUGCUGAUGUGAUAUUCCUUGUCUGUAGAGAAUUGUAAGUAAAUAUAAGUCUGGUCUUUUGGUGGGGCUUGGAAGUGUUGUUGAAGAAAGAGAGAGAGAGAAAGAGAAUGACUUUGGGAUCAAUAAAUAAAGACAGAAAAAGAGCAAUGGUAGAUGAAAAAGUCUUGUUUACAGCUGGA